AGACCCAGAAGUCCCCACUGUCCUGCCCGGCACCUGCCAUGACUGUCCGUCUCCUGGGCUGUGUGGCCUUUUGCCUCCUGUGGGCAGGUUCAGUGACUGCUGGCGUCACCCAGACCCCAAGAUUCCAGAUCCUGAAGACAGGACAGAACACGACCCUGACAUGCACCCAGGACACGAACCAUGAGGAGAUGUACUGGUAUCGACAAGAUCCUGGGCUGGGGCUGAGGCUGAUCUAUUACUCAGUUGGUGUCGGUAUCACUGAAAAAGGACAGGUCUACAAUGGCUACAAUGUCUCUAGAUCAAGUACAGAGACCUUCCCCCUCACGCUGGAGUCGGCUACCCCCUCCCAGACAUCUGGGUACUUCUGUGCCAGCAGUGAAUACACAGCCCUACACAGUGGCCUCCUCGCUGCACAUAAAGGCAGGGGAGGCUCCGCACCCCCAGAACUCAGCGGUGCUCUUGGCAGGUUCUCAACACCAGGACCCUGGAGCCCCGAGGGGCCCGUGCAGUGCCAGCCUGGGUCUGUGCCAGAUCAGGGAGCUCUGGACCUCAGGAAGCCUGCAGGGGUGACCCAGGGCUGUGACAUCACAGAUAACUCCUCCAAUCAGGAGAAGCGAGCCCAGACUCAGCUCUUCCCCAAGAGGCCCACGUCAUGA